AGAAGCUAAAAAGGGAUGUUCUAAAAGCUCUUUUUCCACAAUAAAGUACAUUUAUCUUGAUUUACAUAACAUAAGAUCUCCUUUUUGUUUGCUCUUUUUUUUUUUUCUUUUUUUUUUGGGUGAUGGUUGGGGAUUGAGGGAGUUAAGGAAACAUUAAAACAGAAGACAAAAUUGAAUUACAUUUGAUCAUGAAUGCCAGAUCCCACUGAGAAUGUUUCUGAAUCUAUUGGAGGAUAAUUUCCUGACAAUCUUUUUUGCAUCUGAAACUUCAGCUUCUGCUAGCUUCUCAAUGUUUUUCAGAUACCCAGAAUUUGCAAUUUUCUUUCUGGCACUAUUGCAACUUGUUAAAGACAUGAGUAUAGAAAGCAAUAGCUUCUUGUUACCAAAGUUUGCCUGCUCAGGAUCAAGCAUUUGUAGCAGCAAUCCAAUAUUUUGAUCACUCUGUACAAAUCUCUUUUGGUUUCUUGGCACAAUAACCAUACUUGAUAGUGUUUCAGCUGCCAUUUCUCUAACCUCAAAUGACUUUGAAUCAAAAAAAUUCACAAGCUCAGGCAUAAAUCCAGCAUCCCCCAUUGCUUUCUUGGCCUCUCCUGAUGUUCCACAUAGCCAAAAUGCUGCCUUUAAGGCCAAUUCUUGAAGUGAACCAUCCCCAUGUCUAAGAAAAUACAGAAUGUGAUCCAUAAAUCCAUGAUUCAACAGAAUGUUCACUGAAUUCACUGAUGAGAAACACAAAUUCACAAUCCCCCUCAAAGCCAUUUCCCUUGCUUUAGACGAGAACGAUGAUUUCGGAUCCAAAACACAAGCCAGGGCUCUUAUUCCACCUUCUUUCAUGAUCAUUUGCCUAGUUGCCUCAUCCCCAGAAGCCAUACUUUGUAAAAAAUCAAUUGAACUAAUUUGUGUAACCUCAUCUUUAGACCUUGCAAGCUUGACAAAUACUGAAAUUGCACCUUCCUCAAUCAUAAACCUCUUGAUUUCUUCAACCCCAACAAGAUUUUUCAACACCCCACAAACCAAACCAACUAAUUCACCAACAGAAUCACUCUCUGUACAUAACUUCAACAAAACAGUAACUCCACCAUGAGCUGAAAGUGACCAUGCAUUAUCUGAAUUCUCUGUUAACUUCUGCAAACAUCUUGCUGCAAAUUCUUUACUCAAACCAUUCCCACACUCUAAAACUCUAAUUAGUUGUGCAAUUAUUCCUGUAGAAAUUAAACAACUUCUAUAGGAUUGAUACCCUGCUAUUACAGAUAAUGUCUUAGCUGCCUCUUCUUGAAGAUUAUCUUCUUGCAAAUCAAGAAAAUUCACCAACAGAUUAACAAAACUAUCAACUUCAAUUGCAACUUUAACAUACCUAUCAUCUUCUUGAAUGACUUCAUUCAAAGCAAUUAAAGCUUGUUUCUUCAUUUCUGAAGAACCAAUCUUGAGCCUUGACAACAAAUCCCUGAUAUAAAACUUUAUAUCAUCACGAGAAGCGCCAAUACUCGGCCUUGAAACAAUAAUAGCAUAGCUCUGAGUUAGCAAACCAAGAGAGUAAAUCUCAGAAAUGUUCCUUACAUGAUUGUCCAACUUUGAGGAAAUUAUAUCAAGAUCACUUUGCAUGAGGAGUUUCCCACUAUAAGAAAAUUCCAUACAAUGCUUUGAAAGUUCAUUGCAGUUUUUGAGGGUUGCAUUAAUGGCCUGGAGAGAGCUGCAAAGUGGAGGGUAAUUCUCAGUUGAAUCACAAUUCUCUAUAGCAGAAAGACUAGAGAGAAGUUCUUCAAGCUUAUUGCGAAUAGAUUGCCAUUUCACGGGAAACACUUUGAUUGAAUAAGAAAGAGAUAUGAGUGAAGAAAUGAACUCAAUUUCUUGCCGGAUUCUUGAUUUUCCGGCGGGUGAUGCCAGUUUAAUUUGUGCAUGUUCCGUUUCAGUAAACAUGUUGGAUUUCAUUGGCCCAUUUUCCGGCGAGAUGGGGUCGGAGAAACGGCGAAUUAGUUAGAGGUUUUUGGGAGGAAAAUCAAGGUAAUUCAAUAAAUUU
rnacentral:lncRNA from 1 species